AAAAGCAUGAAAAUGUGACGAUGAUGAGUGUAGAAGACGAAUAAACACUCUAAAAUCACCCAACCCCAAAAUGGAUCAUCCGACUCCGAAAAACCCGCCAAUCUCUCAGACCCAACAACAACAACAACAACCCGAUUCCGAUAUGGGUUUAUCAAACCCGUUGCGUGCCGGGCACCACCGCCGGGCCCACUCCGAGGUCCAUUUCCGGAUCCCAGACGACCUCGAUCUGGGCUUCGAUGGUGGGCCUUCCUCCGCCGCGGGUUUCGACGAGGAUGACCUGUUUUGUACCUACAUGGAUAUUGAGAAGCUUGGAUCCAGACCCGACGGACACGGCUCCGUAACCAAACCCGACAAUGCGGGUGAAGAAGGAGAAGCAGAGCAAAGCUCGAGGACGAGGCAUAGACAUAGCAAUUCGGUGGAUGGGGGUGCCCUCAAUUUGAUGGAUAGCAUAGAGGCCAAGAAAGCAAUGGCUCCUGAUAAGCUCGCUGAAUUGUGGACCGUUGAUCCCAAACGAGCCAAGAGGAUAUUGGCAAAUCGACAGUCUGCUGCUCGCUCAAAAGAGAGGAAAGCUCGUUACAUAUUAGAACUUGAGAGAAAAGUUCAAACCCUUCAAACGGAAGCAACGACUCUUUCUGCACAACUAACUCUGUUUCAGAGAGAUACAACAGGCCUGAGUACUGAAAAUACAGAGCUUAAGCUUCGGUUACAAGCUAUGGAACAACAAGCUCAGUUACGUGAUGCUUUAAAUGAAGCAUUGAAGAAGGAAGUUGAGAGGCUCAAGAUUGCAACCGGAGAAAUAAUGACACACAAUGAUACUACUUACAAUUUGGGAAUGCAUCAUGUUUCAUAUCCUUCAUCUUCCUUCUUUUCACAUCAGCCACAACCUCAGCCAGGUGACCCCCAGAACGUUCAAAUGCCAUCACCAUUUCAUCAAUUCCAGUCUAAUUCAUCAACAGCCCAUCAGCCCCUGCUUGCUGCAGCCCACUCACACGCCUUCACAGAUAUGUUGCAGCAGGAUCCUCUUGGCCGGUUGCAGGGGCUUGAUAUCAGUGGAAGAGGGUCCCAUAUGGUUAAACCUGAAGGCACUUCCAUUUCUGUAAGUGAAAGCAGCAACUCAUUUUGAUGCAAAUUUUGCCAACCUCCACGUGGCCGUAUUUGUUGGAUUGUUCAUAGACUGACAUAUUGACAGCCGAAGGUCUUAUACACUCAUGAGUUCUCUCCCAUUCCAUUCCAAAUCUUGAGUUUUUGGGGCUUUUUCUUUUGGAAAUAGAGGGCUUUCCAAUGAUUAGAAAGAUGCAGCAUUUCAUGCCAGGCACUUCUCAAUAUUCUGUUCUUUAUGUUGUUGUUUAAAAUCAUAUUUCUAAGGGAAAAAAAAAAAAUCUGUUUGUUAUGCAACCUGUGAUCUCUCUCUCUCUCUCUCUCUCUCUCACACACACACAAUUGCCAUCAUCAUGGCAGAGAAACAUUUUGUUUUAGGUUAGAGUUAUAACAGUUAUAUGAUGUUGGCCCUGAAAGUAACUGACUCGGUUGUGAACUUCUAUGGCUA